GACGAACGCUGGCGGCGUGCCUAAUACAUGCAAGUAGAACGCAGUUGCGAACGGGUGAGUAACGCGUAGGUAACUGCCUCAUAUCGGGGGCUAACUAUUGUAAACGCUAGCUAAUACCGCAUACUGUGAGAUGGACCUGCGUUGUAUUAGCUAGUUGGUGAGGUAAAGGCUCACCAAGGCGACGAUACAUAGCCGACCUGAUAGGAUGGUCGGCCAAACUGGGACUGAGAAACGGCCCAGAAUCCUAAGGGAGGCAGCAGUAGGGAAUCUUCGGAAAUGGAAGGAAGGCUGACCGAGCAAAGCCGCGUGAGGGAAGAAGGUUUUCGGGUCGUAAAGCUCUGGUGUUAGAGAAACGGUAACUAACCAGAAAGGGACGGCUAACUACGUGCCAGCAGCCGAGGUAAUAC
rnacentral:rRNA from 1 species